rnacentral:rRNA from 1 species
GACGGAGGGGGCUAGCGUUGUUCGGAAUUACUGGGCGUAAAGAGCUCGUAGGCGGUUUGUCGCGUCUGCUGUGAAAACUGGGGGCUCAACCCCCAGCCUGCAGUGGGUACGGGCAGACUAGAGUGCGGUAGGGGAGAUUGGAAUUCCUGGUGUAGCGGUGGAAUGCGCAGAUAUCAGGAAGAACACCUAUGGCGAAGGCAGCUCUCUGGGACGGUACUGACGCUGAGACGCGAAAGCGUGGGGAGCGAACAGG